AGGAUGGGAUGCUAGGGUUGCACUUUCUGUGUAUGGUUCCUUUAGUAGCCAGGAGUACUUGAAUGCCCAGAGAAUUAGAUAAUAAGCAGAAAGAGCAAAUAGGUUGAUCCACCUUGUUCACAUUUACAAUAGGAAAACCAUGUCAACAUACGGGUACAAACAGUUAUUUUUUGUUUCAUUGUAUCAAUGCCCAUGUCAACAUGACUUUCCCAACAUGAGAUAUCAUCCAAGCCUUAAGAGAAAUCAGGUGCUGUCUCAUUUUUCUUUGCAUACGUCCGCGCUGCUCCUGUUUUUUUUUUUUAAAAAAAAAAAAA